UUGACCUCAAAUCAGGUAGGACUACCCGCUGAACUUAAGCAUAUCAAUAAGCGGAGGAAAAGAAACUAACAAGGAUUCCCCUAGUAACUGCGAGUGAAGCGGGAAAAGCUCAAAUUUAAAAUCUGGCGGUAUUUUGCCGUCCGAAUUGUAGGCUAGAGAAGUGUUACCCGUACUGGACCGUGUAUAAGUCUCCUGGGAUGGAGCGUCAUAGAGGGUGAGAAUCCCGUCUUUGACAUGGACUACCAGUGCAUUGUGGUAUGCUCUCAAAGAGUUGAGUUGUUUGGGAAUGCAGCUCUAAAUGGGUGGUAAAUUCCAUCUAAAGCUAAAUAUUGGCGAGAGACCGAUAGCGAACAAGUACCGUGAGGGAAAGAUGAAAAGAACUUUGGAAAGAGAGUUAAACAGUAUGUGAAAUUGUUGAAAGGGAAACGUUUGAAGUCAGUCAUGUUGGUCAGGGAUCAAGUCAGCAGAUAUGCUGGGUUUACUUCCUGGGCAAUGGGUCAACAUCAGUUUCGACGGCUGGAGAAAGGCGUUGGGAAUGUGGCACCUCCGGGUGUGUUAUAGCCCAUUGUCAUAUACAGCGGUUGGGACUGAGGAACGCAGCGCGCCGCAAGGCAGGGUUUCGACCACGUACG
rnacentral:rRNA from 1 species